rnacentral:rRNA from 1 species
UACGGGAGGCAGCAGUAAGGAAUAUUGGUCAAUGGACGCAAGUCUGAACCAGCCAUGCCGCGUGGAGGAUGAAGGUCCUCUGGAUUGUAAACUUCUUUUAUCUGGGACGAAAAAAGGGAAUUCUUUCUCGUCUGACGGUACCAGAUGAAUAAGCACCGGCUAACUCCGUGCCAGCAGCCGCGGUAAUACGGAGGGUGCAAGCGUUAUCCGGAUUCACUGGGUUUAAAGGGUGCGUAGGCGGGUAUGUAAGUCCGUGGUGAAAUCUCCGAGCUUAACUCGGAAACUGCCAUGGGUACUGCGUAUCUUGAAUGUUGUGGAGGUGAGCGGAAUAUGUCAUGUAGCGGUGAAAUGCUUAGAUAUGACAUAGAACACCAAUUGCGAAGGCAGCUCACUACACAAAUAUUGACGCUGAGGCACGAAAGCGUGGGGAUCAAACAGGAUUAGAUACCCUGGUAGUCCACGCCCUAAACGAUGAUUACUCGACAUACGCGAUACACAGUGUGUGUCUGAGCGAAAGCAUUAAGUAAUCCACCUGGGAA